GGCCUUCGGGUUGUAAACUGCUUUUGUACGGAACGAAAAGGCCCUGGUGAACAACCGGGGUUGCUGACGGUACCGUAAGAAUAAGCACCGGCUAACUACGUGCCAGCAGCCGCGGUAAUACGUAGGGUGCGAGCGUUAAUCGGAAUUACUGGGCGUAAAGCGUGCGCAGGCGGACAUGCAAGACAGAUGUGAAAUCCCCGGGCUCAACCUGGGAACUGCAUAUGUGACUGUAUGACUGGAGUACGGCAGAGGGGGAUGGAAUUCCGCGUGUAGCAGUGAAAUGCAUAGAUAUGCGGAGGAACACCGAUGGCGAAGGCAAUCCCCUGGGCCAGUACUGACGCUCAUGCACGAAAGCGUGGGGAGCAAACAGGAUUAGAUACCCUGGUAGUCC
rnacentral:rRNA from 1 species